rnacentral:lncRNA from 1 species
UCCCAGCAUUUGGAAAACAGGAAGGCAGAUCUCUGAGUUGUUGGCCAGCCUGGUCUGUAGAGCAAGUUUCAGAUUAACCAGAGCCACAUAGCAACAUACUGUUUCAACCCACAAAGAGUAAUUAGAAUACGAACUAUUUACAGGCCCUUGACAAUCAUUUUAAUUAAAUGUUAUGAAAAAAUAAUAAUUCUCACAUCUCUCCUCAAGAAACAGGCAGUAUUUGAUUGAUUGCAUACAUACAUUUGGAUCCUCUUUUGGAGGAGAAACGUUUUAGAACAAAAGACAGAGCUGGCCCUUGGGAAAGUGGCUUUCCUUUUAGUAUGUUUGUAGCACACCUGUGGACUAAGAGCUGCUCUGAUUUACUGCGGUAGCUAAGAAAUAGGUGAAAAUUACUUCCCAGCUUUUCUGGCUCAUAUUUUACAUAUACCAUAUAAUGCUAAAACAAUGGUGGGAUCAUAGCUCAGUGGAAGAGCAUUUCCCUGGCAUGCUUGAGACUGAAUUCCUUCCCUAGUAGAUUAAGUUUAGGGUAAAGCACAAAAACUUACAUUGUUGUUCAAUACUGGGGUGCCUAGAGGAGUAAACUGUGCUGCCAUUACUUGACUCUUGUAAGCAAAGCGCCAGGAGCAUGAAGUCCUUCCGAGGGUCACCCAGGCACUCUCACGCACCCGCUCAUGAGUGAAGAACAGAGAAUAAGUUGUGUGUUUGGCAAGGUAAGAAAGGCAAUGCUUAAAAUUGCUCAAAGAAGGUGAUUGAUAAAUACUUUUUUUAAUAUCUGAUGCCAGAAAAAGACAGGCCUGUGGUUAAUCUCAAUGCCACUUAAGUUUGCUUUGGAUUGGAUUUGUAGUGCUGCGACUGAGGAUUUGCAUGAGAGAAAAUAGCCAAACUAUACUUAGCAGUAACACCCCAAUCUGCAGCACAUUUGUAGUAAGCUAUAAAUUUAGAUUGUGACAAUUCCUGUUUAAUAUAACCAUGAGGGAGGCAGACAUUUAGGAUGUAAUCCCUUGACCGGGAGCCAAAAGUUUCUUAGACCUAAGGAACUUUAGUGCUUUAAUUAAUGAACACUGUUUAACAGCAAGAAAAACUUGUAUAAAAAUUAACUGUUACUGUUUGCUAUAGUUUGUGUCAGUCCAAAUGUGUAUACAUUUAAGCUUGAAAUUGUUUCUCCUGGGUUUUUGUUUGUUUGGUUGGUUGGUUGUUUGUUUGUUUGUUUGUUGUUUGUUGUUUUUUGGUUUUUUUUUUUUUGAGUUCAUGAAGAUUUUAUUGGAAAAAUACUGUUUCUAAAACUAGAAACCGAGUAACGUUUUUAGUUUGGAACUUAAUGGUUUUGUUAAAUAUUUUACUUUGACUAAAACCGGUAUUCACCUGUAAUUUUUUUUUCUUUCUUUUUUUUUUGGUAAUUGAAAAGAUUGGCAAUUACAGGGAUGCUGAAGAGAGAGCAAGAGGGGAGUUGUGAGUUCUUAUUGACAGUGUUCUUAAGCCUUUCAGAAUCUCUGAGUUACCUCUUUAUUUUUAAUGCCAGAAUAUUCAUUAUUUUCCAUAUUUAAAAUAUAGUAUAAUCUAGUGAUAAGUGUUAAUAAGCAUAUGUGGGGUUUUAAUUUAGAUAUAAAGAAUAGCAUUAGAGAUGAGAUUAAAUCUAAGCAAAGGUGCUCAAGAUUCGUAAGUAAAAUGGUACGAUUUGUGGAGCAGCAUUCAGGAAGACCUAGGUAAAUGGAGAUCAGCCACAUUCUUGAAGUGAAUAUAUCCUGGUUAUAAAGAUGUUAAUUCUUACCAAAUUGAUUGGAGAUUGAGUGGAAUUUGCUGGUUAUCUUGGGUAGAACUGAUAAACUUGCUUUAAAAUUAAUAUGAAGAAUCUGAGGCAGGAAGAAUUAGCUACAUAGGGAGUAUCAGGUCAGUCAGAGGUACACAGUAAGACCUUCUAUCCAG